rnacentral:rRNA from 1 species
UGCGNGUGCUAUCAUGCAGUCGAGCGGACAGAAGGGAGCUUGCUCCCGGAUGUUAGCGGCGGACGGGUGAGUAACACGUGGGUAACCUGCCUGUAAGACUGGGAUAACUCCGGGAAACCGGAGCUAAUACCGGAUAGUUCCUUGAACCGCAUGGUUCAAGGAUGAAAGACGGUUUCGGCUGUCACUUACAGAUGGACCCGCGGCGCAUUAGCUAGUUGGUGAGGUAACGGCUCACCAAGGCGACGAUGCGUAGCCGACCUGAGAGGGUGAUCGGCCACACUGGGACUGAGACACGGCCCAGACUCCUACGGGAGGCAGCAGUAGGGGAAUCUUCCGCAAAUGGGACGAAAAGUCUGGACGGNAGCCAACGCCGCGUGGAGUUGAAUGAAGGGUUUUCGGGAUCGNUAAAGCCUCUGGUUGGUUAGGGGAAGAAACCAAGGUGCCAAGAAGUUAAACUGGCCUUGCCACCCCUUGGACCGGGUACCCUUAAACCCAAGAAAAAGCCCACGGGCNUNAACUUACGGUGGCCCAAGCCAGCCCGGCGGGGUUAAAUUACCGUUAAGGUGGGCC